rnacentral:rRNA from 1 species
AUUGAACGCUGGCGGCAUGCCUUACACAUGCAAGUCGAACGGCAGCACGGGUGCUUGCACCUGGUGGCGAGUGGCGAACGGGUGAGUAAUACAUCGGAACAUGUCCUGUAGUGGGGGAUAGCCCGGCGAAAGCCGGAUUAAUACCGCAUACGAUCUACGGAUGAAAGCGGGGGACCUUCGGGCCUCGCGCUAUAGGGUUGGCCGAUGGCUGAUUAGCUAGUUGGUGGGGUAAAGGCCUACCAAGGCGACGAUCAGUAGCUGGUCUGAGAGGACGACCAGCCACACUGGGACUGAGACACGGCCCAGCCUCCUACGGGAGGCAGCAGUGGGGAAUUUUGGACAAUGGGCGAAAGCCUGAUCCAGCAAUGCCGCGUGUGUGAAGAAGGCCUUCGGGUUGUAAAGCACUUUUGUCCGGAAAGAAAUCCUUGGCUCUAAUACAGUCGGGGGAUGACGGUACCGGAAGAAUAAGCACCGGCUAACUACGUG